rnacentral:rRNA from 1 species
GGAUCCAGACUUUGAUCAUGGCUCAGGACGAACGCUGGCGGCGCGCCUAACACAUGCAAGUCGAACGAAGUUUACGGGACUGAUCCUUCGGGUGAUCGAACGCAAACUUAGUGGCGGACGGGUGAGUAACACGUGAGCAACCUGCCCUACAGUGGGGGAUAACGUUUUGAAAAGAACGCUAAUACCGCAUAACGUAUCGGAGAGGCAUCUUUCUGAUACCAAAGGAGCAAUCCGCUGUAAGAUGGGCUCGCGUCCGAUUAGCCAGUUGGCGGGGUAACGGCCCACCAAAGCGACGAUCGGUAGCCGGACUGAGAGGUUGAACGGCCACAUUGGGACUGAGACACGGCCCAGACUCCUACGGGAGGCAGCAGUGGGGGAUAUUGCACAAUGGGGGAAACCCUGAUGCAGCGACGCCGCGUGAGGGAAGAAGGUCUUCGGAUUGUAAACCUCUGUCUUCGGUGACGAAAAUGACGGUAGCCGAGGAGGAAGCCACGGCUAACUACGUGCCAGCAGCCGCGGUAAUACGUAGGUGGCAAGCGUUGUCCGGAAUUACUGGGUGUAAAGGGAGCGUAGGCGGGAAUACAAGUUGAAUGUGAAAACUAUGGGCUCAACCCAUAGUUGCGUUCAAAACUGUGUUUCUUGAGUGAAGUAGAGGUAAGCGGAGUUCCUAGUGUAGCGGUGAAAUGCGUAAAUAUUAGGAGGAACACCAGUGGCGAAGGCGGCUUACUGGGCUUUAACUGACGCUGAGGCUCGAAAGCGUGGGUAGCAAACAGGAUUAGAUACCCUGGUAGUCCACGCUGUAAACGAUGAUUACUAGGUGUGGGGGGACUGACCCCUUCCGUGCCGGAGUUAACACAAUAAGUAAUCCACCUGGGGAGUACGACCGCAAGGUUGCAACUCAAAGGAAUUGACGG